GAUGAACGCUGGCGGCGUGCCUAAUACAUGCAAGUCGAGCGAACAGACGAGGAGCUUGCUCCUCUGAUGUUAGCGGCGGACGGGUGAGUAACACGUGGAUAACCUACCUAUAAGACUGGGAUAACUUCGGGAAACCGGAGCUAAUACCGGAUAACAUGUUGAACCGCAUGGUUCAACAGUGAAAGACGGUCUUGCUGUCACUUAUAGAUGGAUCCGCGCCGCAUUAGCUAGUUGGUAAGGUAACGGCUUACCAAGGCAACGAUGCGUAGCCGACCUGAGAGGGUGAUCGGCCACACUGGAACUGAGACACGGUCCAGACUCCUACGGGAGGCAGCAGUAGGGAAUCUUCCGCAAUGGGCGAAAGCCUGACGGAGCAACGCCGCGUGAGUGAAGAAGGUCUUCGGAUCGUAAAACUCUGUUAUUAGGGAAGAACAAAUGUGUAAGUAACUAUGCACGUCUUGACGGUACCUAAUCAGAAAGCCACGGCGAACUACGU
rnacentral:rRNA from 1 species